GCACAGGCUUCUGAACACAGAUGCAAAUAAAAGGAGUGUGGCAGCAUGAGGAGGAAUGAAAAGAAUGGUACGAAUGAGGCUGAGCUGACUGGGAUCGUGUCAAAACAUUGGAAGAAUGCUCUGCAAGAACUUGUCGGAGAGCGUUGGCCAUCGGUGGCUUCGUUUGGAGCACGAGUAUAACGCGUUCAAGUGCACGUUGCGCCGAUACCUUGAAGUCUGCACCAUUAGCCAAGCGACGUUUCAAGCGUUGCAAAAGUUGCCCCGGGCAAGAAGUAUAGCGCACCAUCAAAGUCGACUUUGCUUGACAGUUGGCAGCUGUUGCCGGAAGGGUGAGAGGAAACCUUUCAAGGAAAGAAUUACUGUCCAGAGGGACAGCGGCUUGGAUUUGUCUGGCCCAAAACACGGCAAGGUGGACACUGACAGUGCACCCCUGACACGUGGGCGGAAACCAGUAGACAGGUGGCACAGGGCAACGUGACAAGAACUUAAACCUCGAUGAUAUUUGGCUGAAAGCCAGAGGAAAAACCUGUCGCAUUAGACGUCCGGGUAAUUGACCAUCUACAGUAGUCACACGUGCACGGUGAUUGUACGCCGGGAGGGGCGGCUCCAUCCAGACGCAUUCACAGGGGUCAGGUGGGUCACAUUCCUCAGGAAGAGAAUGUGGAGACAAGGCAGAAAACAUGGGAACUCGGAAACCCACCCUGCAGCCCCUCGCCGCGGCCCGGCGUUCACUGUUGCCUAGAAACCAAACAGCCAUUCUCACUGUUUUUCUCUCGCUUUCUUUGUGGCUGCAAAACCUUCAGCUUUCAUUAUGACUUGCUGUUAAAAGGAGUGGUGUUGAACUGGUGAGGGGGGGCAAAUGACCCACAAAAACACCGCAAUGCAAUGACCUCAACUGCUCCAUCUAUUCACUCAACUCAGCUACUAAAUGCUUGGGUGAGACACGAAAUAAAUAAAGACUACUCUGUACAUGGUAGCAGAAAGAAAUGUCAUGAUUGGGUAGUCCAUCUGGAAGUGCACAGAAAGUAGCAAGGGUGAUAUAGCCGUAAUGGUGCGCUUUCGCACAGCAAUCAGAUGAUUAGUGUGAUUGUCCCCAAUCACCGGGCCCCGGACCGGUACCGGGCCGCGGCGG